rnacentral:rRNA from 1 species
GACAGAGGGUGCAAACGUUGCUCGGAAUUACUGGGCGUAAAGGGCGUGUAGGCGGGAAGGCAAGUCGGGCGUGAAAUCCCCAGGCUCAACCUGGGGAACUGCACUCGAAACUGCCUUUCUUGAGUGUCGGAGAGGAAAGCGGAAUUCCUGGUGUAGAGGUGAAAUUCGUAGAUAUCAGGAGGAACACCAGUGGCGAAGGCGGCUUUCUGGACGAUACUGACGCUGAGACGCGGAAAGCGUGGGGAGCAAACAGG